rnacentral:rRNA from 1 species
GAUGAACGCUGGCGGCGUGCCUAAUACAUGCAAGUCGAGCGAACAGACGAGGAGCUUGCUCCUCUGACGUUAGCGGCGGACGGGUGAGUAACACGUGGAUAACCUACCUAUAAGACUGGGUUAACUUCGGGAAACCGGAGCUAAUACCGGAUAAUAUAUUGAACCGCAUGGUUCAAUAGUGAAAGACGGUUUUGCUGUCACUUAUAGAUGGAUCCGCGCCGCAUUAGCUAGUUGGUAAGGUAACGGCUUACCAAGGCAACGAUGCGUAGCCGACCUGAGAGGGUGAUCGGCCACACUGGAACUGAGACACGGUCCAGACUCCUACGGGAGGCAGCAGUAGGGAAUCUUCCGCAAUGGGCGAAAGCCUGACGGAGCAACGCCGCGUGAGUGAUGAAGGUCUUCGGAUCGUAAAACUCUGUUAUUAGGGAAGAACAAUUGUGUAAGUAACUAUGCACGUCUUGACGGUACCUAAUCAGAAAGCCACGGCUAACUACGUG